rnacentral:misc_RNA from 1 species
GAGGGAAUGUUAUGAGAUGUUCAAUAAGUUAGAUAGGCAUGAAUUUCAGAGUUUGUGUGAGCUUUAAACUUAAUUUGUAGAAUUACAUGAGCCAAAUAGGAGAACAAUCAGAUACCUUAUAAACUAUACAAUCAAAUUCAGCUGUAAUCACUCGCAUCCUUCAGGGAUGGACUCCAGCUUUGGCUUCCAAUUUCUUGGAGAAUCAAGAGAAAAACUUGUCUUCUCAAGUCUCGAAAGAACCAGCUCUUCAACAGAAACCUGCUCUGUAAGUAACUGCUUAAGCUGUUGCUUUGUAAUAACCACUUUGAUCCUCUUGACACCACCUGCUGUCUGAGCAGAAGAAAUCGUUUCAACAGAUCUCAGAGAUGGCAGAAUGUAGUAAACUUGGCCCAACUUAAGCUCAUAAUCAAGUGGGAGAUGCUCUGCAGCUUCCUUUGAUAGACCAAUACCUGACCCAGAAAAGUUCACCAACACAUCCUUCACAAGAACUGGAGAGCUGAAUUCUAACAUCUUCCCAUCUGUCUUCACAACCUGAAGAACUUUGCCUCGAGUAACUUUGAUGGGUCUACAAGAAGCUAAACAAUUACCCAUUUUUUCUGAGAAAAGAGAGAGAUUAGUAAGGAAUGAAGAGAGGAUUAAGAUGUUUAUUUAUAUAUUUAUGGUCAAGAAAAGAUGGGUUUGGUCCGUGCUUUUGAGUGGAGGAGUAGAAAGCUAUCUUUAUGUGGAGAAAGAAAUGGCAAAUUGAAUUUGGGAACACAAAAAGAGAAGCAAAGGCAGCUAAAUAAUAUUGGCUUUCUGGAAAGAAAGCAAAUGGAAGAGAAAUUUUUCCACACGCAUACAGAGAAAGGUUGGUUUAAUGGAUGGUGGCGCGUUAUUACG